CGUGACCGUAUCGUCAUCGCAGCAAGGGGAAGAAAAAAUAGUCUUGUGCGCAUGCGCAGGGCACGGAUUGAAGCUAUUGCGCAUGCGUGUGCCCUACUUGAACAGAUUUCUUACAGAAAGAAAGGUAAUCUUUUUCAUACUUGUCUUUACUUUUUGAAAAAUCGAUUGGAGCAAAAAUGUUGUUGGAAAAAGUAACAGGGGAAUGCUUGCUGCAAACUAUAUGUACCAUAUAUUGGCAACGCUUACAGCUAAAGUUUGUUUUUGCCUUUCCUUCUCCUUUAAGCAGUACGGGGGAACAGUAUAUUAUAUGUUAUUUACUUUAAAAUACUUGUUUUUCUGGUGUUCCUUCCCAGAGAAAGUUACAAAAAAGUAAACUUGUGUUCAGAUGGAAAAUGUAACAGUAACCAGCUGGCACAUAUAUAGGUAUACACAGAAGAACUUCCAAUUAUAUACCCAUUUUGAAGACAAACAGUCAACAGGGUACAAAUUUAAAUGUACAAACUAGGCUUUAUUUUUAUUUAUUUAUUUUUUAAAAUGGGUCCCAUCUUGGGGUUAAAAAACAAAAGUAAAUUGAGCUGUUAGUAACUGAAUAUGCAAGGGAUAGUUGUUACUCUCUAGCCUGUGUAUAGGGGCAAGAUACUUUUCCACAAAGGAAUGUACAAAAUAAGUCUGCCUUGCGCUUAACUCUGAGCCAUAACAGCUGGACCUUGUCUAACUGUGGGAAUUUGCCUCUAAACUUACAGGCAAUGACAAACUACUCACAUCAACUUAAGACUUCUGUCUGCAGUAACUAUUCUACAAACCGCAACGAUUGAGUAAAGACUAGUGCAAAAAGAAAGGAAAUGAUAACUGUUUGUCCAAGGGCUGGAUGGGGGGAAAACAGUGAGCAGGACGGGGUGAGGCCUCUUCAUCCGGUUAUUGGAGCCAACAAAGAGAUGCCUUCACAUUGCAUAGUCUAACCUCUAACACCUCUUGCUGAAAUAGAAGAUGCCGGCAACUAAGUUAUCACAAACUAUUUCAGAAUAAAGCUUGUUGUCUCUUUAA